AUUAGGAUGGCAGACUAUAUGUGUUAGAUUUAGGAUCUAAAGAUGGAUUUAUAAAGUCCUCUUAAUA
rnacentral:tRNA from 1 species